UGACAAUUUAAGAGCACACCAGGAACGCAUC
rnacentral:piRNA from 1 species